GCAUGUUAGCCCAUCGUCGGGACGAGCCUUGCCGUCGCCAACACCCUCUCCAACGCAUUCCCUUUGGUGUGUGCGUGUGUAUUCUGUUUUUCUGUUACCGGAGCGUGCUGCGCGCUCUUUCUUACGGUGCUCGCCCUCUCUCCUUCUCUCAGGUGUGCCCUGCCAAACUCCGUCGGUGCACGUUUCUGCUCAGCCUUCGCCUCCGCUUUUCUUUUUUUCCACUUGGUGCUCUUGCGCUCGAUCUGAUUGAAAAGUUUCGUAUCACUCUUGUGUGGAGGAGUUGCUGUGUGUGUGUUUGAUCGCCUCUAACCCGCUCCCCCCUCUCUCUAUGCGUGAGCCCACUUCUGCUAACGCUUUCGCUAUCGUUAUCCGCGUGCCUCUCCCUCUGUCUCGGCGAAGACAAGAAGCGGUCUACCUGACAUCUUGGUGAGGGUUCGUGGUGUGGUCAGGGGAGGGGCGAGGGUGUGAGGGCGUCUUAUCACACGAGGGCGCGGCGUAUUCACGCGCAAGGGUGCGGCACAGCUGCGCAGCCACAAGACCCGUGUACGGUGUAUCAGUCGUAUCAGCAUCCGGCGCACAACCCAGCGACUCAGUCUCUUCGAACCAAAGAGUAGCCGAACGAGAUAAGGACGCGAGCGUCUGGUGACUUGGUGGCUGAGCGUUCUGUUUUCCACGCCGGGACACCACUGGAGAACUCAGGCUGGUCGCUCACCCGUUCCGUGCUGUUUGCCAUCGACGACAGCGCUCACAGACACAAUGCGGCCAUAGCAAGGCCGGCGGUGCCUCCACGCGUGGACGUCGCAGAGUGUGUGUGUUGGGGGGGGGAGGCUGGAUGUGUCGAGUCACCGUCUACCCCCUCCCCCUCGCUGCGUGGCUGGCGCUAUGACUACCGCGGCGCGCGAAGGUUUCUCUUUAUGUCCAUACUCCGUCCUCCGACGCGUGCAACAGCAAUUGCUGCCCUCUCUCUCUUCUCGUUGUCUGCAUCUUUCACUACUCUCCCAUCGUGGGAACGGCGACGUCUCGGUGGUGCUUCAUUGUUGGGUUGUCGUGCGUGGUGCCUCUCCUUCCCCAG
rnacentral:misc_RNA from 1 species